rnacentral:rRNA from 1 species
GUGGGGAAUAUUGCACAAUGGGCGCAAGCCUGAUGCAGCAACGCCGCGUGAGGGACGACGGCCUUCGGGUUGUAAACCUCUUUUAGCAGGGAAGAAGCGAAAGUGACGGUACCUGCAGAAAAAGCACCGGCUAACUACGUGCCAGCAGCCGCGGUAAUACGUAGGGUGCAAGCGUUAUCCGGAAUUAUUGGGCGUAAAGAGCUCGUAGGCGGUCUGUCGCGUCUGCUGUGAAAACUGGAGGCUCAACCUCCAGCCUGCAGUGGGUACGGGCAGACUAGAGUGCGGUAGGGGAGAUUGGAAUUCCUGGUGUAGCGGUGGAAUGCGCAGAUAUCAGGAGGAACACCGAUGGCGAAGGCAGAUCUCUGGGCCGUAACUGACGCUGAGGAGCGAAAGCGUGGGGAGCGAACAGGAUUAGAAACCCCUGUAGUCC